rnacentral:lncRNA from 1 species
UUAAGCACAAUCAAGAGUUGUUUUGAAGUGUGACUUCACCAUUAUCUUUAAACUUAAUUAAAGGUUGUAAUCACUGAGGUGAUUGAGGGGGAGUGAGUAGGAACUCUGAUCUUAGUGUAAGAUUGAAAUUGCAUUGGGUAUGUAUUAAGUGAUAGGAUUAAACAGUUGGUUUAAGGUCUGAAUUAAUACUACUAAUUGUGGAUUUCCUCCCUGGCUUGGUAGCCCCCAGACGUAGGUGUGUGUGACACCGAACUGGG